rnacentral:rRNA from 1 species
CUUGAACGCUGGCGGCAGGCCUAACACAUGCAAGUCGAACGGAGUGGCGAACGGGUGAGUAACACGUGGGUGAUCUGCCUUGCACUCUGGGAUAAGCUUGGGAAACUGGGUCUAAUACCGGAUAGUGCAAGAUGAGCUCGCGGCCUAUCAGCUUGUUGGUGGGGUAAUGGCCUACCAAGGCGUCGACGGGUAGCCGGGCUGAGAGGGUGUACGGCCAUAUUGGGACUGAGAUACGGCCCAGACUUCGACGGGAGGCAGCCGGGGGGAAUUUUGCACAAUGGGCGGAAGCAUGAUGUAGCGAGGCCGCGGGGGGGAUGACGGCCUUCGUGUUGUAAACUCCUCUCGACAGGGACGCGGUACCUGAAUAAGAAGCACCGGAUAAGCACGUGCCAGCAGCCGCGGUAAUAC